GGCUUGAAGACGCUCUUUAGAAUGUGAGAGGAGCGAAAAGAACGUAAAGUGGUCCGAGAAUAGAGCACCUAGCAAGAUGAGGGAGUUUCGAGAAGCGUUGGAAGACUUUCAUUUACAUGAUCUUAGCGCGUAGUGGGAGUCUUCCUUUCAAGUAGAUCUCUCCGAGUUCUCGAAAGCUCGUGAAUCGGCGUUUAUACAGUUACUCGGGGAAGAAUUAGCGAAGUACGAGUGCUCAAUUCGAUAUCUGGGCUUUCGAUCAUUCAAUUUGGAGUGUGAGCAAAGAUUGACGGGGGACGUCUUGAUAGAGGACUC
rnacentral:misc_RNA from 1 species